rnacentral:rRNA from 1 species
CGGCGGACGGGUGAGUAACACGUGGAUAACCUACCUAUAAGACUGGGAUAACUUCGGGAAACCGGAGCUAAUACUGGAUAAUAUAUUAAACCGCAUGGUUCAAUAGUGAAAGACGGUUUUGCUGUCACUUAUAGAUGGAUCCGCGCCGCAUUAGCUAGUUGGUAAGGUAACGGCUUACCAAGGCAACGAUGCGUAGCCGACCUGAGAGGGUGAUCGGCCACACUGGAACUGAGACACGGUCCAG